CGCGUAGGCGGCAUGACAAGUCACUUGUGAAAUCUCCGGGCUUAACUCGGAACGGCCAAGUGAUACUGUCGCGCUAGAGUGCGGAAGGGGCAAUCAGAAUUCUUGGUGUAGCGGGUGAAAUGCGUAGAUAUCAAGAGGAAUACCUGAGGUGAAGACGGGUUGCUAGGCCGACACUGACGCUGAGUGCGCGAAAGCCAGGGGAGCAAACG
rnacentral:rRNA from 1 species